rnacentral:tRNA from 3 species
GGGUGGUUAGCUCAGCGGUAGAGCACUGCCUUCACACGGCAGGGGUCACAAGUUCGAUCCUUGUACCACCCACCA